rnacentral:ncRNA from 1 species
GCGAUUGAGGCGCAAUAAAUAUCAGUAUGAUUUUUGAAGUUGUCAGGGACUUAAGAUGAAGUCAAAAAGGAUUUAUUGCCGAAGCAUUUGCUUACCUGAAUGGGCAAACGCUGGUUGCAUUAUUAAGAGUAAUGUGACUGUCAUCAUCUGAUGGAGUGCUUUCGUA